GAUGAACGCUGGCGGCGUGCCUAAUACAUGCAAGUCGAGCGAACAGACGAGGAGCUUGCUCCUCUGACGUUAGCGGCGGACGGGUGAGUAACACGUGGAUAACCUACCUAUAAGACUGGGAUAACUUCGGGAAACCGGAGCUAAUACCGGAUAAUAUAUUGAACCGCAUGGUUCAAUAGUGAAAGACGGUUUUGCUGUCACUUAUAGAUGGAUCCGCGCUGCAUUAGCUAGUUGGUAAGGUAACGGCUUACCAAGGCGACGAUGCGUAGCCGACCUGAGAGGGUGAUCGGCCACACUGGAACUGAGACACGGUCCAGACUCCUACGGGAGGCAGCAGUAGGGAAUCUUCCGCAAUGGGCGAAAGCCUGACGGAGCAACGCCGAGUGAGUGAUGAAGGUCUUCGGAUCGUAAAACUCUGUUAUUAGGGAAGAACAAAUGUGUAAGUAACUAUGCACGUCUUGACGGUACCUAAUCAGAAAGCCACGGCUAACUACGUG
rnacentral:rRNA from 1 species